GACACUAUGGCCGAGUGGUUAAGGCGACAGAUUCGAAUUAGUUGGAAGUGCAGGAUUCGAACAGUAUCUGUUUCCCGUCGGGAGCGCAGGUUCAAAUCCUGCUGGUGUCG